rnacentral:rRNA from 1 species
UGGGGAAUAUUGGACAAUGGGCGAAAGCCUGAUCCAGCCAUGCCGCGUGUGUGAAGAAGGUCUUCGGAUUGUAAAGCACUUUAAGUUGGGAGGAAGGGCAGUAACCUAAUACGUUUCUGUCUUGACGUUACCGACAGAAUAAGCACCGGCUAACUCUGUGCCAGCAGCCGCGAUAAUACAGAGGGUGCAAGCGUUAAUCGGAAUUACUGGGCGUAAAGCGCGCGUAGGUGGUUUGUUAAGUUGGAUGUGAAAUCCCCGGGCUCAACCUGGGAACUGCAUUCAAAACUGACAAGCUAGAGUAUGGUAGAGGGUGGUGGAAUUUCCUGUGUAGCGGUGAAAUGCGUAGAUAUAGGAAGGAACACCAGUGGCGAAGGCGACCACCUGGACUAGAUACUGACACUGAGGUGCGAAAGCGUGGGGAGCAAACAGGAUUAGAUACCCCAGUAGUCCCUGAGCGGGCUGGCAAGGCGCAU